rnacentral:rRNA from 1 species
UACGUAGGGGGCAAGCGUUGUCCGGAUUUAUUGGGCGUAAAGAGCGUGUAGGCGGUUUGGUAGGUCCGCUGUGAAAACUCGAGCUCAACCUCGAGACGCCGGUGGAAACCAUCAGACUAGAGUCCGGAAGAGGAGAGUGGAAUUCCUGGUGUAGCGGUGAAAUGCGCAGAUAUCAGGAGGAACACCAAUGGCGAAGGCAGCUCGCUGGGACGUGACUGACGCUGAGACGCGAAAGCGUGGGGGAGCAAACAGG